rnacentral:misc_RNA from 1 species
GCAGUACGUUUCAUGGAAUAUAGGUUUCAAGGUAUCAGCUUUUACAUAAAUUUUGAGCUUGAAUUUCCCAAACCAUUUUAAAUAUAUAGAUAGAUAGAUAGCAUCUAUACAUGUAGCUAAAGUGCAGGCAUUCCUGCGCUUGAAUUUUUUCAAAAUGCAAUAACCACACAUUCUAGUGCAGAAUCUGAAAAGGUUCUUUGAGUUUUGAGGUUCAAUGUAACAUCCAAAAGAUUCACCCACUAGCAUAAUAAACUGAGUAGUUAUUUCCAACCAUCAGACCAUUCAGCUUCAUCCAUAACAGGGUCCGGGAUGUAGUCUGUUUGGUGCGUUGUACCCUCAACAUCAGGAGAUGGCUGAAAACUCUGUUUCUCUUCAUUGACGCAAGUGCCUUCCUCAUUCCAAUUCUUAGCUAGUUCCCCUUCAUCUUGGUCCCAAUUGUUGACUUGUCCGCCUUGGUCUUGGUCCCAAUUGUUAACUUUUCCCACCUGGUCUUGGUCCCAAUCAUUAGCUUCUGCUCCUUCACAGUCCCAGUUAUUUACUUGUGCCCCAACAUCAUCCCAAUUAUUUGCUUGUCCGGAAUACUCUUGAAACCAAUUAUUUGCUUGUCCGAAAUCCUCUUGAGGGAUCUCCAGUUUUUCAGGUAAGAAGCAGCCCUUGUAGGAGUCAUUGUCUGCACAAUACCACAAAAGCUUGUUCCAGAAGGGAUCCUUGCAGAUGAUGUGUGGAUUCCCGACAACUACAAGCAAUGAUCUGGCUCUUGUAGCAGCAACAUUGAACCUUCUCGGAUUGCUUAAGAAUCCUAAGUAAUGGAUUCUGUCGAAGUCAUUAUGCUGAAUCGUCGACCGGACGGUCGAUAUGAUAAUAACUUCUCUCUCCUGACCUUGGAAUUGCUCUACGCUGCCAACCUUUAUAUUAGCCCACUCAAAGCUCUCAAGGGCUGUUCUUAUUUUCAGUACUUGCUGCCUAUAAGGUGUUAUCACCCCAAUAUCUUCCUCUUUCAGACCUUUGUUCCCUAUCAGAUCUCUGAUGAUCUCUACCACCUUGCUUGCUUCGAUCCUGUUGAACCAUGAUGGGUUGCUUCCUUCUCUUUCAUCACAACCCUGUAUGCCAAUGAAAACCAACGGAAAUUCCUUGUUUGGAAGCAGGUCCACCCAAGUCUGGGUAAAAGUUUUAUCUUCUUUACAUGGGAUCAACUCUCCUUCAUAAAACAUUUCUGAGGGAAGCUGCAGAAUUACCGGAUGACACCGAUAAUUCCUUACUAGUCUGGUAGCAUAAUUUUCGUUGAGAUCACCAUAUAACUGGCAUUCAAAUAACCUCUCCAUAUAUGAAGUUGCCAAUCCAUAAUUUUCAGCAUCUUUUGAGAAAACAAUGGGACCAAGUUGCUGUGGGUCACCAGCAAGUACAACGACUGUCUCUUUCUUUAAAAGAUGUGAUAGAGGAACCAUGGUAUCAGGCUCUGAUGCCUGUCCUGCCUCAUCCAAGAAAAUAUGAGAGAAGUGUCCCCGUUUGAUGCCCUCUGAAUAAAGAAGACAUGCACUAGCAUAUGUAGAUAUAAUAACCGUAUAUCUUUUAAGGUCCCUGAGAAGGGGGCACUUAAAAGAAUUAUCUUCAGCAUUGCAAAAACGAAGGUAACUAGGAUUCACAUCAUCUAAAGG